rnacentral:rRNA from 1 species
UACGAAGGGGGCUAGCGUUGUUCGGAAUCACUGGGCGUAAAGCGCACGUAGGCGGACCUUCAAGUCAGGGGUGAAAUCCCGGGGCUCAACCUCGGAACUGCCUUUGAUACUGUUGGUCUCGAAUCCGGUAGAGGUGGGUGGAAUUCCUAGUGUAGAGGUGAAAUUCGUAGAUAUUAGGAAGAACACCGGUGGCGAAGGCGGCCCACUGGACCGGUAUUGACGCUGAGGUGCGAAAGCGUGGGGAG